AGAUGAAGAUGAUGAGAAGAAUAAUUAAAAAAAUCUGAUCAUCAAAUUUUAUGUUUGAUAUGAUCGAAUAAAAUUAUCGCUACGUUCUUUCUGAUUCAUCU